rnacentral:rRNA from 1 species
AUUGAACGCUGGCGGAAUGCUUUACACAUGCAAGUCGAACGGCAGCACGGACUUCGGUCUGGUGGCGAGUGGCGAACGGGUGAGUAAUGUAUCGGAACGUGCCCAGUCGUGGGGGAUAACGUAGUGAAAAUUACGCUAAUACCGCAUACGAUCGAUGGAUGAAAGCGGGGGAUCGCAAGACCUCGCGCGAUUGGAGCGGCCGAUAUCAGAUUAGGUAGUUGGUGGGGUAAAGGCCCACCAAGCCAACGAUCUGUAGCUGGUCUGAGAGGACGACCAGCCACGCUGGAACUGAGACACGGUUCAGACUCCUACGGGAGGCAGCAGUGGGGAAUUUUGGACAAUGGGCGAAAGCCUGAUCCAGCCAUUCCGCGUGCAGGAUGAAGGCCCUCGGGUUGUAAACUGCUUUUGUACAGAACGAAAAGGUUUCUACUAAUACUAGGAGCUCAUGACGGUGCUGUAAGAAUAAGCACCGGCUAACUACGUGCCAGCCGCCGCAGUAA